GUGGGGAUAGAAAAGGCCAGUCUGCAAGGCCUCUUCUGGGCACAAUUCACCGGUCAGAUUCUAAGGAGGAUGGUUGAUCGCAGGAGAGCUGAAGUGGAAGGAAAGAUUAAGAUGAGUUGGGUGGAUAGAAAGAAAGAGGUGCAGCUUCAGGAACAAGGACCAAAGCUGGUCUGAAUUUUAACUGUUUUGUUAUUACGUGAUUUUGAUCAUAACUUUUUAUUUAAGUCUACAGUACACAGAGAUUUUGAACAAGGUAAAGUUUUCUGUACCCUAGAAGUUCUUUUAUAUCUCAUGGUUCACUUUCCUUGCAGCACAGUGUGAGUAAAACCAAAUGUUGAUCCAGUUGUUUGCUGGUUUCUCUUAGUUUUAUUAAAAAACAACAAUAUGUGGCAAAGCCUGACACCUCUGUCAGUUGAAGGGAAAUUGAGGUGCGACACAGGAAAAAAUCAGGAAACUCUGUGCCUUGAUGUGUGUUUCGUAGAGUAACAGUCACUGUCUAAUCACAGUAGAAGGGGUCAGCUUUUUAAAUGGCCAUUUGCUUUCUAGCUGGUUGAUAUAACAACGGUUAGAUUUAUCAAGAAAGUUACCACUAGACUAUCUUGAAGGAGAGGCAGACUCAGGCUCCUUCUUAACCUCAACUACUCUACAAGAAAAGCACAUUAGGAAGGAGAAGAGUCCAUUCAAAGUAUCACUGGAGAGGACCUGACAACUUGCCAACACAUGAGGUCCACCUUCUACCCCCCACCUUUUUCUGACUCCUCUUCCUCUGUGCAUGACCACUCCUCCUUUUCUUUUCUUUUUUUUUUUGCUCUGCCUCUUACAGCCGAAGCAACACGCCUUGCUGUGGCUGGUCAAACGGAACCAAGUCAGGUGUUUCAGUGAGGUUUGGUCCCCUUCAACCAGCUACUGCGUCGUGAAUUCUGUCAGCGUGGAAAUAAAGACACAGUGGCAUUGUGGUGAAUCCUUGCUUAAACCGGAGGUGGUAGUCCUAUGAAAAAUAUAGAUAUUUGAUCAUAAUUCUCUUAUUUUUUUCUUGGUGUUGGUUGUUUCCAGUAUAACAAUGUGUUUUAAUAAAUAAAGGUUUUGAUUUCAAUACAUUUUAUUUAUUAAUCUAGUCCACCUAUAAAUAAGAAGUUUUUUUUCUUAACUUGUCCAUGAAAAUAUUUCAAACAUAUUAUAAUACAUAUUUGUAAACCUUCAAAUCUAUACACAUUUUGCCACUUUUUUGAUUUGUAUGACCAGAAAUGAGGUUUGAUCAUCACUGGUCACAUAUUGUUCAUAGCUCCUGGGUUGCCCUUCAUUUCUGUGUAUUUUGUUUCCAAUCAGUCAAGCCUUUAUGCAAAUCUCUUGACCAACAGUUUUUCUGAAUGUCUAUCAAAGUAUGUUUUUUUGUUAAAAAAAAAUUAGCAUAAGCAAAUAAAGGCAUUUGACUUAAGGGAUGUUUUGUCUGCACAUAACAGACAACUUGAAAAGAAAUUAUUUUAAAUUGUAUCUUUUGUACUGUAGUACUCAUAGCCUGUAAUUUUUUUCCAACUUCUUUUGUUUAGUCUGCAUAAAUGCCAAAGAUAACACUGUUUGACAGACAUAAAGAGUCUUUUUGCACCAAUAAAUAAUUUUCAAAGA